rnacentral:rRNA from 1 species
UACGUAGGGGCGAAGCGUUAUCCGGAAUUAUUGGGCGUAAAGUGUGCGUAGGUGGUUACCUAAGCGCAAGGUUUAAUCUUGAGGCUCAACCUCAUUCUGCCUUGCGAACUGGGCUACUUGAGUGCUGGAGGGGAAAGCGGAAUUCCUAGUGUAGCGGUGAAAUGCGUAGAUAUUAGGAAGAACACCGGUGGCGAAGGCGGCUUUCUGGACAGUAACUGACACUGAGGCACGAAAGCGUGGGGAGCAAACAGGAUUAGAUACCCUGGUAGUCCCUGA